UGAUCAUCUCCCAUACUCAGAUGCUCUCAGUCUCAGGCCACGGUGUUUGGCAGAAAUCAGUGAUUUUUCAGAACCUUGGAAGGUGCCCACAACUGGCACUAGUGUAUUUUUUUGUCACUUCAAAGCACCUAUGGGCAGUCCUUUGCUUUUCCAUACAAGAGUAAGCUUAGGAAUGCUUUGCUUCAUUCUAGGUCAUUGGAUAGGUUCCUUGUUAAAGUUGCAUGAAAAGAAAGAUUCCGUUGAGCCAGUAGAUAGCAGUGAUUCCGUUAGUGAUAGUGAAAGUCGUCCUACAUAAUAACCGUCCUCUCUCUUGUCUCCCUCACACCAGCCAUGAAGGUUUUCAAAGGUAAGUGUAGGUUAAUUUGUUUAUUUUUCUUUAUAUUGUGUAUUUUCUUUAUUAUUUUGUGCUAUAUUACAAUAUUGUAAUCAUUUUUAUAUGAAUAUUUUUGGGUUGUGGAAUAAAUCAUCUGGAUUUCCAUUAUUUCUUAUGAGGAAAUUUCACUUUGAUAUACAUGCUUUGGAUAUACAAGCAUGUUUCCAGAAUGAAUUAUGCUCACAAACCAAGGUUUUACUGUAUAUUGUAAAAAUGCCAAACAAUUAUAGACAUUUAUAGUGUAGAAAUAAAAAUUUCCUUUAUAUUCCUGCCUCCCAGAGAUAUUUGUUAGUAACGGCUUAGUAUAUUUUUCUCCACUUAUUUGCAGUAUAUAUACUAAUGUAUAUAUUUUUAAAAAACAGGAUUACACUAUUUAUACACAUAUAUGCACAUACAAAAAUAUACAUACGUGUAGUACUAUGAUUUCAUUUUUUAAUUCUUAUUCUAGACAUUAUUCCAUGUCAUUAAAUAUAGACCUACUUCUUCUGAACAUUAUUUCACUAUGGGCAUAUUAUCCAUUCAUUCAUAUUUUGAUUUAUUUAAUGAAUAUUUUUAAUACCUACUAUAUGUCAAGCAACAUUUGUAUGUCUGAUCCUCUAGUGGUAGAAAUGUAGGUCAUUUUGUUUUUAUUCUUUUGUUUACUGUUACAACAUUGAGGUAAAUAUCUUUAACUGUAUCUUCAGACAUUAUUGCAAGAGUUUCUUCUAUAAAAUAUAUUUCUGGAAUUGCUCAGUAAGAAGAUACCCAUAUUCUAGGUUUUAAAAGGUGCUGCUAUCCCAGAGUUUGUCAACCUCAGCACUGUUGACAUUUGGGGCCAGAUAAUUUAUCAUUGUUGGGCAGGGUGGUGUGAGGUCAAGGGAACUGUUCUGUGCAUUGUAGGAGGUUUGGCAACAUCUUUGGCCUAGAUGCCAGCAACAUCGUCCCACCCCCCCAGUUGUUUCUAUCAAAAAUGUUUUCAAACAUUGCCAAAUGUCUCCUUGGGGGGAAAUUGUCCCAGAAUGAGAACCAGUACACUAGCCCUUCUUUCUUUUCCUGCUUUGGUGCAAUACGGACAGCCAGGCUUGGGAUGUCACAGCCCAAGUUGAGCGAAGAGAUGUCCACGUGAGAAGCAGGCUAGCAUGGGAUAUUGGGGGCCAGCUGGGGUGAGGAGGGCAGCCACAGGGAUCAUGGCUUAUUGUGGGAUGUCAGAGCACAAGUGGGGUUAGGAAGAUAUCCAGGCAUGAGGGCAGCCUGGUAUGUGGUAUUUUGAACCUCAGGCAGGAUGAAAAGUAUGUCCAUAUCAGAGAGGCAGGGACUAUCCUCUCCAGUCCAAAAAAGAGAGUUCUUCAUUUAUAUGACUAAAGGCCCAUUUAGGGUUGUUUCCCUACAUUAGAGCUUGGUCCCUAAGGAGAUCCAAUACUGAUUUGAUGAUUUACUUUCUUUUACCAUAUAUAAUUAGGGAUUUUUUUUUUUUUUUUGGCUGAUGUCUCCAUGCUAUUUGGAAUAAUUUUAAUAGUAGAAGAAGCUAGCCUAAGAGCAUAGCUCACAGCUGUCUAAAUACUCACUUGCUAAUAUCUGGCAAGUACUUUAACCAUACACAUAAUCCAGUCUAUAAUGGAUGACUCUCACUAAUAUAAUGUUGAACCAAAGAAACUAAAUAGCCGAGCACAUACUACAUGAUUCUGUUAUAUAAACUACUAAAAAGUAGAACUCAUUUGUGAUGCUAGAGGUUAGAAUUCUGUUUACCCUUAGUGAGAGGUGAGGUGUAGCACCUGGAAAGGAGAUACAAGAGGAGGCUUCUGAAAUGCUGAUAAUCUUUUCUUUCUUGAUAUGAGUGUUGUUAACUUGUAUAAAGCCAUUGAGGUAUAAUGCAUAUGAUUAGCACACCUUUGUAUAUGUAUAUAAUUCUUCAACAAAAUGUUCACCCCAAAAAAAUCCCAGUUCUUAUAUUCUUGGAAAAUAGUCAAACUCUUUCCUCUGAAUGAUAUAAUUAUUAGAAAAUAGAAUGUUUGGGCACCUGGGUGGCUCAGUUGGUUAAACAUAAAUGUCCAACUCUUGAUUUCUGCUCCAGUUAUGAUCUCACGAUCAUGAGAUCGAGCUGUGCGUCAGACUCUGUGCUGGGUAUGGAGCCUGCUUAAGUUUCUCUCUCUGUCCCUCUCUCGCAAAAAAUAGAAAAGAAAAUAGAAUGUUAAUGGCUGACAGACGACAGCAUAAACCAACUAAAUAAAUAGGCAAGUACUGCUCAAACUAACGACCAAUUUGGAGCACGAACAAAAGUGCUCGGUCUACCAAACUUGCUAGAUAGUGGGGUAAGCUGAAUGAAAUAUGUCUUGUUCAGCAACAUUCAGCAUGCCUUUACUGAAAUCUUACUUUAUCAUAGGUGCUCUUAUCUUUUGGAUUUUGGAAGCACCUAAGGACACAGUAUCUACAUUCAAGGAUCCCGUGGAAAUGAGGAAUGCUAAGCAGUUACAAUACAAUAACAUGAACGCUGAUAAAUGUGCACAGAGUUAGAGAAGAGGAGGUAACCAAAGGCUUCCUGAUGGAGAUAAGGAUGAAAGUUAGCUAAAUGAAGAAAAUGGGGAAGAGCAUCCCAGGUAGAAGGAACAGCAUGUGCAGGAUACAGAAGUAGAACUCAGCAUCACACAUUCAAGGAACUGUCCUUGUUGACGUGGAAAGCACAGGGACCAACAGCAUUAUCUUACGUAUCACUGGAGCACAUCCCAGAGCCUGUUUUAUGGUAGACAUUCAGAUAUUAUUUAGAUAAGUAAAUACUUGAUGUAGCAUCAGGUAUGUGAGGAGAUAGACAAGGAAAGAUCAUGAGUUUAUAAAUCCUUCUAAGAAGCUCAGAAUUCAUUUGGUAGGCAGUGAGGAGCCAUUAAAGAAUUUAAGCAUUGGAAUAAUAUGAUUUGUGGUAUUUUAGAAAAUUUCUCUGGCAACUCUGGAAAAGAUGGAUUGAGUUUCUAAAAAGAAGAGAGUAAGUUAGCAGAAUUUGUGAAUGUAUGUGUGUGUGUAUAACCUAUACACGUGCUUGUGAGCAGUCUUUUGGUAGUGGUGAUGAGAGUUGAAGCUAGGGAUACUACGUUUAGAUAGGAAGUUCCUAAAAUGAGUAGAAAUGAUAAGAGUAUGGACUUAGACUGUGGGCCCGAUGAAUAUGGGAUGAAUUUGAGGGUGAUUUAGGAGAUACAAUAAAUGGUGAUUAAUGUCCAUUUAUAAAAAGCACUUGAGGAAGAGUCAUCUUGGAUGACUCCCAGAGUUCUGGCUUGGGUGACCAGCUGAAAACUGUCAGCACACCAUUUGCUAUAAUAGGGAAUACAUGUUGAGGAACAAGUUUGUGUUCCCUUUGUUUUCCAUGAGGAACCUAGUGUGUUCCAUCACUUUAUGUUGAUCCGUCUACUAGGAGAUGUUUAGUUGGCACUUGAAUAUUUGGGUCUGAAGUUCAAGACAGAGGCCUGAAUCAGAAAGAUGAUACAGUAUUUGAUAGCAUACUGGUAGUUUUUAGAGCUUGGGUAAAACCCCCAAAACAUCUAUCAAUAGAAUACAGGUUUAGAUUUAUUAGGCUACAGAGAGGAAAAGAGUUAGGAUGGCAGAUGUUUGCUAUAAACUUGUUUUACUGUUUUUCACUCUGCCUUUUUACUUCUGUUAUUUUUAUGGGGAGGCAUGGUUGGCUCUGGUUUUUAGGUCUCAUAAUAGGCUGUCAAUAUAAAAUCUCCCAAAUUACUUAUUUUCAAAUUACCAACACAACUAAAUAGCCUGUAAUUCUUGGGGAGAGGGCUGAAAAGGGAUUUUUCUUAUUUGAGACGGUUGUGUUGUAUAGUAGAAAGAGCUUAGUUGAAUUUUGGAGUCACAGUCUGGUGGGAAUCUUGGUUCUCAUAUUUAGCUAUGUGCCUUUGGGCAAGUUUUUAGUUUCACUAAGACUCAGCUUACUCAUUUGUAAAACUGGGGUAAUUACAGUUAUCUUUUAAGAUUACUAUAAGGAUUAAGUGAGAUGAGCUUUUGGGUCUAGAAGAUCAUGACAACUGUCCAUAUGUAAAUCCACACAUCCUCCCCAAAAGCCAUAAGAUUGAAAAGGAACACACACACAUACACACACACACAUAUGCAUAACCCAUGUAUAACUCACACCUUCAGCAUUAGUAUAACAUAGAUAAUACCACGAAUUUUAAAUUACUUGUAUGGAAAGAAACAACAAGUUACAAUAUUUCUGUCACUGCUACAAACCUCUGAGUCUGGAGAGUAGGGCAAGGAGAGGCUUAAGAGAUAGUGAAGAGAGAAGAAAGGAAUCAGAGGUUUAUAAUGACAUGCAAGCAGAAUGACCUUCAGAAAGAAAAUAUCCCCCACACAGCUGAGGAGAUACAAACACAGGCCUGGGACUUAGGAAUUCAUAGCAGUAGCUAUAGCGAAGGUGUGUGAAAGAGGCCACAAGCAGCAUCAGAGAAACAUUGCUCUGGGAGAGAUAAAGGAUGGUGCCCCUUGGAGCCAUCACAGUGAGAGGAAAGGAGGAUGUAAGGAGAAAAUAAGUGUACUAUAGAGAUUAAAGAGAAACGAGGCACACAGGUUCAAUACCCACUCACCCACCACCACCCUUAAUGUACCCUGUAAUGUUAUAUUAGUUUCUGGUGUAUAAUGAUUCAACAGUUCUGUACAAUACUCAGAGCUCAUCACAGUAAGUAUACCCUUAAUCCUAUUCACCUCUUUCACCCAUACCCCCACCCACUUCCCCUUUGGUAUCCAUCUGUUUGUUCUCUGUAUUUAAGAGUCUUGUUUUUCGGUUUGUCUCUUUUUUCCUGUGUUCCAUUGUUUUGUUUCUUAACAUUCCACAUGUGAGUGAAAUCAUAUGGUAUUUGUUUUUCUCUUAUUUCACUUAGCGUUAUGCUCACAUAUCUAUCCAUAUUGCAAAUGGCAAGAUUUCAUUCCUUUUUAUGGCUGAGUAAUAUUCCAGUGUGUGUGUGUGAGGUCUUUAUCCAUUUAUCUAUCACCAGUGCACUUGGAUUGCUUCCAUAACUUGACUAUUGUAAAAAAAAAAAAUGCUACAAUAAAUAUAGGGCUGCAUGUAUCUUUUCAAGGUUGUGUUUUCUUAUUCUUUGGCUAAGUCCCCAGUAGUGGAAUUAUGGGAUCAUAUGGUAAUUCUAUUUUUAAUUUUUUGAGGAACCUCCAUCCUGUUCUCCACAGUAGUUAUACCAGUUUUCAUUCCCACCAACAGUACAUGGGGGUUCAUUUUUCUCUGCAUCUUCGCCAGCAUUUGUUGUUUCUUGCAUCUUUUAUUUUAGCCAUUCUGGCAGGUGGUUUUGAUUGCAUUUCCCUACUGGUUAGUGAUGUCAAGCAUCUUUUCAUAUGUCUGUUGGUCAUCUGUAUGUCUUAGGAGAAAUGUCUGUUCAUGUCCUCUGCUCAUUUUUUAAUUAGAUUAUUUGGUUUUUCGGUGUUGAGUUCUAAGUUCUUUAUAGAUUUUGGAUACUAACCCCUUAUCAGAUAUACCAUUUGCAAAUAUCUUCUCCCAUUCGGUAGGUUGUCUUUUGUUUUGUUGAUUGUUUCCUUUGCUGUGCGGAAGCCUUUUAUUUUGGUAUAGUCCCAAUAGUUUGUUUUUACUUUCCUUUCCCUUGCCUUAGGAGAUGUACAUAGAAAAACCAAUAUCGGGGAAAUUACUUUACUACCUGUGCUCUCUGCUAGGAUUUUUAUGCUUUUGGGUCUCAUAUUUAGAUCUUUAAUCCAUUCUGGGUUUUAUUUUUGUGUAUAGUGUAAAAGAGUAGUCCACUUUUAUUCUUUUGCGUGCAGCUGUCCAGUUUUUCCAACACCAUUUGUUGAAGAGACUUUCUCCCAUUGCAUAUUCUUGCCUCUUUUGCCAUAGAUUAAUUGACAAUAUAAUCAUGGGUUUAUUUCUGGUCUUUCUAUUCUGUUCUAUUCACCUAUGUAUGUGUUAAUUUUUUGCCAGUAUCGUACUGUUUUGAUUACUACAGCUUUUAUUAUAUCUUGAAAUCUGGGAUUGUGUUAACACCAGUUUUGUUCUUCCUUUCCAACAUUGCUUUGGCUAUUUGGUUAUUGUGGUUCCAUAAAAAUUUGAGGAUGAUUUGUUCUAGUUCUGUAAAAAAUGCUUUUGGUAUUUUGAUAGAGAUAUCAUUAAAUCUGUAGAUUGCUUUAGGUCGUAGGGAUAUUUUAACAAUAUUUGUCCUCCCAUUCCAUGACCAUGGAAUCUCUUUUCAUUUCUUUGUGUCAUAUUUAAUUUCUUUCAUCAGUGUUUUAUAGUUUUCAGAGUACAGGUCUUUCACCUCCAUGGUUAAGUUUAUUCCUAGGUUUUUAUUAUUUUUGGAGCAAUUCUAAAUGAGAUUGUUUUAUUACUUUCUCUUUCUGCCACUACAUUAUUAGUAUAUAGAAAUGCAUUGGAUUUCUAUAUGUGGAUUUUGUAUCCUGUCACCCUACUAAAUUCAUUUAUCAGUUCUGAUAGUUUUUUGGUGGAGUCCUUAGGGUUAUGUAUAUGUAGUGUUAAGUCACAUGCAAAUAGUGAAUGUUUUGCUUCCUCAUCACCAGUUUGGAUGCCUUUUACUUCUUUUUCUUAUCUGCUGUGGCUAGGACUUCCAGUGCUACGUUGAAUGACAGUGGGGAAAAGGGACAUUCUUGUCUUGUUCCUGAUCUUAGGGAUAAAGCCCUCAGUUUUCACCGUCAAGUAUGAUGUUAGCUGUGGAUUUUUCAUGUAUAGCCUUUAUUAUGUUGACGUAUGUUUCCCUAAACCUAGUUUGUUGAGGGUUUUUAUUAUGAAUGGAUCUUGUGCUUUGUCAAAUUCUUUUUCUGCAUCAAUUGAAAUAAUCCUAUGGUUUUUAUCUUUUCUCUUAUUGAUGUGAUGUAUCAUAUUGACUGAUUCAUAAAUAUUGAACCGAUCUUGCAUCUUGGGAGUAAAUACACUUGAUCGUGGUGAAUGAUUUUUUAAUAUAUUUUUUAAUAUAGUUUACUAAUUUUUUGUUGAAUAUUUUUGCAUCUAUGUUCAUCAGAGAUAUUGGCCUGUAGUUCUCUUUUUUUGUAGUGUCUUUACAAAAGACAUUUUAUCUGGUUUUGGUAUCAGGGUAAUCAGGCCUCACAAUAAAUUUGAAGCUUUCCUUCCUCUUCUAUUUUUUGGAAUAAUUUGAGAAAAACAUAUAUUAAUUUUUCUUUAAGUGUUUGUUAGAAUUCACCUGUGAAGCUGUCUGGUCCUGGACUUUUGUUUUUUGGGAGUUUUUUUGAAUACUGAUUCAAUUUCACUGUUUAGUAAUCAGUCUGUUCCUGAUUCUGUUUUGGGAGGGUUUAUGCUUCUAGAAACUAAGCCAGAACAAAAACAGGCACAUAGACCAAUGAAAUAGAAUAGAAACCCCAGAACUAGACCCACAAACGUGUGGCCAACUCAUCUUUGACAAAGCAGGAAAGAACAUCCAAUGGAAAAAAGACCGUCUCUUUAACAAAUGGUGCUGGGAGAACUGGACAGCAACAUGCAGAAGGUUGAAACUAGACCACUUUCUCACACCAUUCACAAAAAUAAACUCAGAGUGGAUAAAGGACCUGCAUGUGAGACAGGAAACCAUCAAAACCUUAGAGGAGAAAGCAGGAAAAGACCUCUCUGACCUCAGCCGUAGCAAUUUCUUACUUGACACAUCCCCAAAGGCAAGGGAAUUAAAAGCAAAAAUGAAUUACUGGGACCUUAUGAAGAUAAAAAGCUUCUGCACAGCAAAGGAGACAGUCAACAAAACUAAAAGGCAACCAACGGAAUGGGAAAAGAUAUUUGCAAAUGACAUAUCGGACAAAGGGCUAGUAUCCAGAAUCUAUAAAGAGCUCACCAAACUCCACACCCGAAAAACAAAUAACCCAGUGAAGAAAUGGGCAGAAAACAUGAAUAGACACUUCUCUAAAGAAGACAUGCGGAUGGCCAACAGGCACAUGAAAAGAUGCUCAACGUCACUCCUCAUCAGGGAAAUACAAAUCAAAACCACACUCAGAUAUCACCUCACGCCAGUCAGAGUGGCCAAAAUGGACAAAUCAGGAGACUAUAGAUGCUGGAGAGGACGUGGAGAAACGGGAACCCUCUUGCACUGUUGGUGGGAAUGCAAACUGAUGCAGCCGCUCUGGAAAACAGUGUGGAGGUUCCUCAAAAAAUUAAAAAUAGACCUACCCUAUGACCCAGCAGUAGCACUGCUAGGAAUUUACCCAAGGGAUACAGGAGUACUGAUGCAUAGGGGCACUUGUACCCCAAUGUUUAUAGCAGCACUCUCAACAAUAGCCAAAUUGUGGAAAAAGCCUAAAUGUCCAUCCACUGAUUAAUGGAUAAAGAAAUUGUGGUUUAUAUACACAAUGGAGUACUACAGGGCAAUGAGAAAGAACGAAAUAUGACCCUUUGUAGAAAUGUGGAUGGAACUGGAGAGUGUGAUGCUAAGUGAAACAAGCCAUACAGAGAAAGACAGAUACCAUAUGUUUUCAUUCUUACGUGGAUCCUUAGAAAUUUAACAGAAACCCAUGGGGGAGGGAAAGGGAAGAAAAAAAAAAGGUUAGAGAGGGAGAGAGCCAAAGCAUAAGAAAUUCUUAAAAACUGAGAACAAACUGAGAGUUGAUGGGGGGGUGGGAGGGAGGGGAGGGUGGGUGAUGGGUAUUGAGGAGGGCAUCUUUUGGGAUGAGCACUGGGUGUUGUAUGGAAACCAAUUUGACAAUAAAUUUCAUAUAUUUAAAAAAAAAAAGAAAGAAACUAAGCCAGAUGGGUUGCCCAAUUUGUUGGCAUAUUUUUCAUAAUAUUCUCUUAUAAUCCUUUGUGUUUCUAUGGUUUUGGUUGUUAUUUCUCUUUGGUUUUGGUUGUUAUUUCUCUUUCAUUUCUGAUUUUGUUUAUUUGAGUCUUUUUUUUUUUUUUAUGUUAAGUCUGGCUAAAAGUUUAUCAAUUUUAUUUCUCUUUUAAACAACCAGCUCCUGGUUUCAUUGAUCUGUUUUUGUUGUUUUUGUUUUUGGGGGGGUUUUAUUUGUGUUGUUUUUUUGGGGUUUUUUUUGUUUUUGUUUUGUUUUAGUUUCUAUUUUAUUUCUACUUUAAUUCUUAUUAUUUCCUUCCUUCCUUCUACUGGUUUUGGGUUUUGUUUGUUGUCCUUUUUCUAGCUCCUUUAGAUGAAAGGUUAAGUUGCUUAUUUGAGAUUUUUCUUCUUGAGGUAGAUUUGUAUUGCUAUGAACUUCCCUCUUAGUACAGCUUUUGCUGUAUCCCAGAGGUUUUGGACCAUUGUGUUUUCAUUAUAAUUUCCCUCCAUGUGUUUUUUUGAUUUUCUCUUUGGUUUCUUGGUUGACCCAUCCAUUGUUUUAGUAUCCUGUUAUUUAACCUGCAUGUAUGUGUUUGUGUUCUUUCCAGAUCUCUUCUUGUGAUUUCUAGUUUUUUUGAUGUUGUAGUCAGAAAAGAUGUAUGAUUUCAGUCUUUCUGAAUUUUUCAAAACUUGUUUUGUGUCCUAACACAUGAUCUAUUCUGGAGAAUGUUCCCCAUGCACUGGAAAAGAAUGUGUAUUCUGCUGUUUUUUCAUGGAAUGUUAUGCAUAUAACUUGUUAGAUCCACCUGAUCCAAUGUGUCAUCCAAAGCCACUAUUUCCUUGUUGCUUUUCUGUUUGGAUGAUCUAUCCAUUGAUGUAAGUGGGGUGUUAAAAUCUCCCACUAUUAUUGUAUUACUAUCAGUUACUUCCAUUAUGUUUGUUAUUAGCUGCUUUAUCUAUUUGGGUCCUCCCAUGCUGAGUACAUAAAUAUUUACAGUUGUUACACAUUGUUGGAUUGUUCCUUUUAUGAUUAUUUAGUGUCCUUCUUCGACUCUUGUCAGUCUUUGUUUUAAAGUCUAUUUUGUCUGAUUGUAAGUAUUGCUACCCAGUUUUUUUUUUCACUUGUAUUUGCAUGAUAAAUGCAUUUCUAUCAGUUCACUUUCAGUCUGCAUGUGUCUUUAGGUCUGAAAAGAGGUUCUUGUAGGCAGCAUAUAGAUGGGUAUUGCUUUUUUAUCCAUUCCAUCACCCAGUGUCUUAUUGGAGCAUUUAGUACAUUUACAUUCAAAGUAAUUGUUGAUGGUAUAUACAUAUUGCCAUUUUGUUUUAAUAUUUUUAAUGUUUGUUUUUGAGAGAGACAGAGCAGGAGCAGGGAAGGGGCAGAGAGAAAGUGACACAGAAUCUGAAGCAGGCUCCAGUCUCCCAGCUGACAGCACAGAGCCCGAUGUGGGGCUUAAAUUCAUGAACCUUGAGAUCAUAACCUGAGCCGAAGUCGAAUGUUCAAUCGACUGAGCCAGCCACCCAGGCGCCCCUGAAUUGCCAUUUUGUUACUGGUUUUAUGGUUGUUUUUAUAGUUCUCUGUUCCUUUCUUGUUCUUUUCUCUCACAAUUUGCUGGCUUUCUUUAGUAAUAUACUUAGAUUCUUUCUCUUCAUAUUUUGUCUAUCUAUAACUGGUUUUUGAUUGGUAGUUACCAUUAGAUUUAUGUAUAACAUCUUAUGCAUAUAGCAAUCUAUGUUAAGUAGAUUGCCCCUAAAAUUUGUACCCAUUCUAAAAGCACUAAAUUUUUACUCCUCACCCCCUCCCAUGUUUUAGGUAUAUGGUGUCAUACUUUGCAUCCUUUUAUUUUGUGAAUCCCUUGACUGAUUUUUAUAGAUAUAUUUAAUUUUACUGCUUUUAUGCUUCCUACUAUUCUUACUCUUAAGAGUCCCCUUUAACAUUUCUUAUAAGGCUGGUUUAGUGGUGAUGAAUUCCUUUAACUCUUGUUUGUCUGGAACAUUCUUUAUCUCUCCUCUUCUGAAUGUUACCCUUGCUGGAUAGAGUAUUCUUAGCUGUAGGGUUUUUUCUUUCCAUACUUUGAAUAUAUUGUGCCAUUCCCUUCUGGCCUGCAAUGUUUUUGCCAAAAAAAAAAAAAAAAUCAGCUGAUAGCCUUAUAGGCUUCCCUUGUAUGUUACUGUUUUCUCUUACUGCUUAUAAAAUUCUCUAUCACUACUUUUUGCCAUUUAAUUACUAUGUGUCUUGAUUGUUUUUCAUUACCCUGUCCUCCAAGUCACUGAUCCAUCUGCUUCCUCUAGUGUAUUGUUUAUUCUCUCCAGUGUAUUCUGGAUUUCAGUUAUUGAGUUCAUCUUUCACUAGUUCUUUUUUAUGUUUUUCUCUUUGUUGAGGUUCUCACUGGAGUCCUCCACCCUUUUCAGAAGUCCAGUGAGUAUCUUUAUGACGAUUACCUUAAAUUCUCUAGCAGGCUUAUUACUUACCUCUAAUUCAUUUAGCUCUUUUGCUGUUUUUUGUCCUGUUCUUUUAUUUGGAACAUAGUCUUUUGUCUCCUCAUUUUGACUAACUCUGUUCUUGUGUGUUAGGUAAGCCAGCUAUGUCUACUGCUUUUGAAAAUAGUGACCUUAUGAAGACGAGUCCUAUAAUGCCCUGCAGUGUCCCCUGUUCACUCCAGGGGUGUCUCCUGAGUAUGUUGCGUGUGCCCUACUGUUGUGGUUGAGCCACAUGUGCCUUCAGUCCAGUCUUCUGAAAUGGCUCUCUUUGCCUAUUGCAGAUAGGGUUCUUCAGUCCCUGUGUUGUUAAUGGGCCAGUCCGGGGCUACCUUGAGUCAGACUAGGUGUUUGUCAAAGAUGUAGUAUCACUAAACUGCAGGGUGCUAUCUCUGUGUUGUCCUCUGAGAAGCUUUCGUUGGUGGGUGGAAUCUACAGUCAGACCAUGUCUGACCUCUACCCACUGCUGGGGUUGCAGUGGGACUGGUGUGCGUGGUUGUCUUCCACUCUGUGUAGGGCAGGAGUUACUUUGGAGUGGUGCUGCCCCUGCUGGGGCUGCUUGGACAUUUGCACACUGCCACACUUGUGGCACUGCUUUGACUUCUGCUUAGGGCCUGUUGGAGUGGGGGAGGGGAGGGCAAGUCCACAGGAGAGCACUCUGUUAACAGGCUAGUUGGGGAGUGUUUCUAGUGGUUCCCCCAGUGUUUCCUGUAUCUAGGCUGUGGGGAGGGAGGAGGAAAUUGUGUUCUCUAGCUUUUUUGUUCUUAGAGAAGUCUCCUAAAAAUCCCUGCCAUUCCAGCAUACAUUCUGAGAUUCGUAAAUGAAUCUUCCCCAGGUGUUUUUCAAACUGCUGCUUCUAGUCUAUAUCUAAGUUGGGUUCUUUCUUAUACUCUCUCUUUUAGGGCAGGGACUCAGUUUCUCUCAUGCUGUCCUGGAGCAAAGCCCACUGAUUUUUAGAAUUCCAGUUUUUAAGCCUCACUGAUUGUAAGAACUCGAAUGCUAAGACCCUAUGGUUUUCAAAGCCAUAUGUUACGAGGGUUUUCUUCUUCCCAAUACAGGUCUCCCAUACCUCAGAUGCCUAAUGAGGCAUCUUCUUUCUGUUUUUGUGCCUGUGGCGUCACUUCCUCCUACAGACAGUCUCCCAGUUAUUUUGGUUGCCAACCACAUCUUUGAUGUGGCCUCUUCCCUACAAUUAGCUGUAGAGUCUGCUCUGCCAGUCUUCAGGUUGUUUUCUGGGUUACUUAUACUGAUGUGGAUGUUAUCUCUCUGUAUGCAUGAGAUGAGGUGAGCUUAGGAUCCUCUUACUUCACUAUCUUCCCUGGAAGUUUUGGGAAACUAUUAAAAUACCCCAAGCAAAUAAAAAAUAAAUAAACUUGAGGACAUACUAAUAGGGGUAUUGAUGGAAGAGGCAUUGAUAAAAGGAAAGAAAACAAGAAAAAUAAUGAAAAUGAGAGGCAGAAAGAAGUAAAAAGCUUGAGAAAGAAAGUGUAUGAAAUGCAAUAUAGACAAAGGGAGACCCAACAUAUUUAUAAUUAGAGUCCCUGCAGAAGAGAAAUCAAUGGAACAGAACUAACGAUUAAGCCAUAAUUCAAGGCAACUUUUCAGAAGUAAGAGAAAAACUGAAAUCUGCACACUAAAAGGGCCCACCUUGGACAGAUUGAUUCAGAACAAUGAACUCUGAGUCAGAUUAGAUUUUAUUAGAUUUUAGAUUUUAAAGACUAGGGAAAAUAUUAGACUUCAAAGACAAUUUUUUUUUUUUUGCCCUCUGGGGUAAAGAGUGAGCAGGAGAUGACUUUACUACUAAUAAUAAUAAUAAAAAAUUAGGCUCACAUCAGACUUCUCAAGAACAAUAUACCAAGGAAAACUACCGGUAGGAUCCCAUUUUUAAAAACUCAAGGAGGGGCGCCUGGGUGGCUCAGUCAGUGAAGUGUCUGACCUCGGCUCAGGUCAUGAUCUUGCUCUUCUGGAGUUCAAGCCCUGUGUCAGUCUCUGUGCUCAUAGCUCAGAGCCUGCCUGUUUCAGAUUCUCUGUCUCCCUUUCUCUCUGCCCCUACCCUGCUCGGGGUCUCAGUCUCUCUCUCUCUCUCUCUCUCUCUCUCUCUCUCUCUCUCUCUCAAAAAUACAAAAACAUUAAACUCAAGGAAACAAAGUUCAAGCUAGUAAUCCUGUCCUUCAAGUAUCAGAGUGAUAGAUAAACAGUUUUGAACAUGAAAGAAUUUCCUUGAGUUUUGAAAACUCCAGGAAACAAAGUUCAAGCUAGUUAUCUUGUCCUUCAAGUAUCAGAGUGAUAAACAGUUUUGAACAUGAAAAAGGUUAGGAAGUUCUUAGAAUUUAAUAUAUUUAAUUGUAGAUCCAGAACUAAAACAGUGGUGGGGACAUGGGUGUGAGUGUUAUACAUUCUGACAAAGUAGAAAGAAUAAAACUAAAAAUGAGUGAAGAGAGAAAGAGAAGAUAGAAUAAGAUCAUUCCCUAUUGUAUAAAUAUUAAGUGGCAAUUCUAAGAUACCACUUAAAAUGGACAAACCAGAUGGUAAAGGUUAAAUAAGAAAACAGAUUUAAGAUUUCCUAAAAUACACACAUACAUAUAAACACACAUGCAGUGUAUGAAGGUAACAAUUAGAACAAAAAGUGUAAA